UGUUCUUGAUGAAAUUCAUGCAUGUCAACUGAUCCAGAAUUCCCCCCCCCCCCGGGCCUCUCAGUGGCCAGUUGGCAUUCUGUCAGCUGCUUGUUAGAAUGGCCUCCGGGCUCACUGGGCGUGAUCUGACUGUAAAGCU